UAUCUGGUUGAUCCUGCCAGUAGUGUAUGCUUCUCCAAGACAAGCCUGCAUGCCUUCGAAUACGAGGAAGCAAUUCUCUCUGAAUCUGCGAACGGCCCUUUAACCAGUUGUAAACUAUAGCAAGCAUGCUCGGGAUUUGGCCCUCACGGGUUGGGUUUCGGGUGAUAAGGAUAACCCUGGUAAUUCUGAGGCUAAUACUAGAACGCAAAAACUUGACUGACCGGUUUUACUGGGAGGUUGGGGGGCGUGCAAGUGGGUUUCGCAUAGGAUAACCGGGAAGGGGUGCACGUUUGGACCGCGAUAAAGACAGACUGGUUUCGGCCGGCCUGAGCGGCACUUGCGUUGUGCUUCUGACCUAUCAACUAGAUGGCAGCGUAACGGACAUGCUAUGGUUGCAACGGGUACAGAGGAUUAGGGUUCGAUCCUGGAGAGUGGGCCUGAGAGAUUGCUCAUACUUCUAAGGAAGGCAGCAGGCGCGCAACGUUCCCCUUGGACAAUGUCCGAGGGCGUUAGGGGACAUAUGAAUGCCUGCCUUUUUGGUGGGCAAUUCAAAUGGGUCUGUUCUAAACAGUCUCUCGAGUAACAAUUAGAGGACAAGUCUGGUGCCAGCACCCGCGGUAAUUCCAGCUCUAAUAGCGUACGUUAAGUUGUUGCGGUUAAAACGCUCGUAGUCGGCUUCAGAUCGUCACGAUGCCCGAGUGGGUUGGCUGGAUUGCUGCCUUUCUAGGCGCGCCGGCCGGCUUGCAGAGGUUGACGGCGGUCAAACGUGCCCCAGGCUGUUCUUCGGAUCACAGGGCCCUUGGCUUGCAGGGGUUCGGCUCGGGGUACCACUUACCAUGACUAAACUGGCUCGAUCAAGAAAGGUCAACUCGAUCUUGCACAGCGCAGCAUGGCAUAAACAAAACUGGUCCGGGAUUUUUGCGGAUCCUGGGCUGGUAGAGGCAAAAGGGGUGUUCGAGGGGGACCGAAUUGCCGGGCGAGUGGUGAAAUACGUUGACCCUGGCAAGUCGACCAAAGGCGAAAGCAGUCCUCAAGGGCAUACCCGUUGAUCAAGAGCGAAAGUUAAGGGUUCGAAGACGAUCAGAUACCGUCGUAGUCUUAACUAUAAAUGAUACUGACCAGAGGUAGGAUUCUGUCCAUCUCGACUUCUCCUGGAUCUUAGGGAAACUACAGUCUUUGAGUUCUGGGGGGAGUAUGGUCGCAAGGCUGAAACUUAAAGGAAUUGACGGAAGGGCACACAAAGAGUGGAACCUGCGGCUUAAUUUGACUCAACACGGGAAAACUCACCAGGUCCGGAUACACGUAUGAAAGACAAGCUGAAAGACUUUUCUCAAUGAUGUAAGUGGUGGUGCAUGGUCGUUCUUAGUUCGUGGAUUGAUUUGUCUGGUCUAUUCCGAUAACGAGCGAGACCCCGGCGUUCCUAAUAGGGGCGGCAGCCAAGUUGGUCCGCCUCACGGUGGGCUUGCUAGCAGUCGCCUAAGAUUACUUCUUAGACGUAUCAGAGCCGAUAAGGUUCUUGAAAUGGGUUAAUAACAGGUCAGUCAUGCCCUUAGAUGUUCUGGGCCGCACGCGCGUUACAAUGGCAUGUAUAGAUAGUGCUCAAAAGGGCGUAUCCGGGGCCUAACGGCUUCGGUAACCCUUAGUCCCUGCCUUGACUGGGACAGACUAUUGCAAUUAUUGGUCUCAAACGAGGAAUUUUUAGUAGUCGCAGGUCAUUAACCUGCGACGAAUGCGUCCCUGCCCUGAUAGGGGUCUUGGACCGGGUAAAGUAAGGGAAUCGGGAAUUAUAACCCAACGGUUGGGGGGUUGAAGAAAAC
rnacentral:rRNA from 1 species